rnacentral:lncRNA from 1 species
UAAUCAUUUAAAUUAGACGCUUUGUGCUCUACGUAACCAAAAUCCGUUUUAUUCAAGUAUGCGUUCCGUGCAAAAUUACCGUAAGACAUAACGGUUGGGGUAUGGUGACAAACGACGCAAAAUAUCGUUUGACACCAUGCGUAUUUGAUGGGCUUAGCAAUGAAACUUAAGCCGGACAUAGUCUUCUUCGUAUGUCACAUUCAAAUUGUGUUGUUUGUUCUUGUAAAGUCAGCGAUGCUUGUCCAGGGAGAGGAAACUCCACCAAUGAUUGUAGAUGAUGCCGAGAUUGCACAGGGAAUCUGCAAGAGAUGCACUGAGCUAUCCCAAGAUGUCCACUGCGAGGUCACGUGGGAUUUUCACAACAGAUGUGCUAAAUCUUCUACCGAAAGGCUGCGUUCUUCUAUCAACAAUACAGUGUGGACGAGCAGCCAGCACUCGUGUGCGAAGCCUGUCAUCCCGCGCAUGUCUACGUCGCCACCCUGGGCGCCCGCAGAGAACACCACCCAGCUGCCAGACGGCUACCCGGAUGGGCGCGUUCCGAAGCUGUCGCGCUCUACCCAAGCGGGCGGCGCCGCGCCACGCGCCGACCUGUCGCGUCUGCUGCCGGCCGCCGCCGUUCUGAUCGCGCUCAGCUGACGCGCCGUUCGGGCGCCGCCCGCCGAGCAACGCGCCGGCAACGCAUCCGGGCCGCGGCCACGAUAUUGGAUGUCCUCCGACUGCUCCUGACUGUGCAGGUCCUUUGGCCGUGACAGAAGCGUUGCCGUGAGAAAGUCGCUGGCAAGAUCAUGUGCCCGCGUCAUUACAACCUGGGUCAUCCAACCAUGCCGACGGCCCAUAUUGAUAUCCGGGAUCCAUUCUGAGGCGUCUUCGCCUAAUUGAGAUAGACUUUUUUGGGACACCAUGACUGCGGUUAGAGUCGUUGACCUCAUCAGGGCCAUCGAAUGUUUGAGCCCUCUGAAAGAAAGCCCUCUGCGAAAGCUCAUUGCGGUUUCCGUAGCCUUUUCCAGGAAAUAAUAAUCCCUUAGUCUUGAAAAGUUUUUUGUCAUGUUGUGGGUUCAGUACAUUAUUUGAGAUCCUCAACCGUCAACUGCGCAAAGGCUCUCCGAGCCUACCAUUAGCUGGAGAACGCUUUAAAUCAAUAACGCCCACCUUGAAUUGGCCUCGAAAAUCUGCCGUGCUUGAAAGCUGAUGGUGGACAUUCGUCAAACCACAUGAUCUCUGGAAAAAACGGCGCGUAGGGCAACCACAAACAGCCAUAGGCCCAUACGCUCCGUGGGGUGUGUGGGCCCAUGAUCUGAAUCGCAUAAGCUGAUGCACAUUUACUUAUAAGGUAUGUCAUUUUAGAAUUUAUACACGCGUAGCGUAACGUAGCUGCACAGUAACGUUUAGCAGGUGUCAGCUUUUGGAAUCAUCAGUGCAUGUAAAUAGCGUUGUAGUGACGUCAGGGGUGCCACUAAUUGCACCCAUGUUUCUCACAGGGAUGUAAAAAAAUACGGGUUCAAUUAAUCGGUAUUGCCUGUCAGCUGAAACAAUAAUAAAAUGCAUCUUCUCUUUGAAAGCACGUAUGGGUUGGCAUGCAAGUGAUUUGUAUUAUGAAAUGUGAAAUCAUCGCAUUCGUUUCGUUCCCAGAUAUCACAUAUCUGUUUUAGAAAAGACGCGAAAUUUACGUAGGAGUGGUGUGCAUUGUCUUUGGUUUUUUCAGUUUAUUUUCAUGCUCACAAAUAUGACGCAUGAAAAGGGAAUUGUAUGGCUAUUAAUUAUACAUUGUCUAGCAUUAGUCAUUCCCGCAGCUAUUGCUAAUGGGUGUGACAUGAGUGGACUCCAAGACAAGUGGGUCCCAUGCUCCAAGGAAGGCAUUUGUGAAAAUCCCAAAUAUCCGCAAAAAAUGCAAUCCAUCACAGGAAUCAGCCUUUGCCCCACGGGUUGCAGGUGCUACGUAAUUCCAACAGCUCCGCCCAGUAAAAGGCCAGACAGAAGCACGAAGGCUCCACCGGCUUCUUCAGAAGGUGCAGCAUGCAACGGAGGCUGGCAUCUGGUGGACGGAAUGUGCUAUACGUUGACGUCUGGUGCCAUCACUGGCUAUGACUUCCAGGUGGCCUGCACCGAGAUGGGUGACGCCAAUCCAGUGUACGGCACGUCUGAGCGGGAUGGCCAAGCCGUUGUAAAGGUGCUCAGAGCAAUGAACCGGCCUUUCGCCUGGGCGAUUUUAAAAACAAAUGAUAAGCCUGCUGUAGCUGACUGGACCCAAUGGUUCCGUUGUCUGACCAGUGACUGCAAGUGUACAACAAUCAAUGCCUCAGAUGGCAAAUGGACUACGCGAAGCUGCGAUAGUAAAUAUCCAGCAGCUUGUAGAAGAAGGCCAAGACAUGAUUCUCUUUGAAAUCCUUCACAGCAAUGUCAUCCGUGUCUGCCUGUAUGUACACUCUGUUUUUUGCACGCUGGCACAUUGUUCUUAUGUUACCUAAAUAGUGGCAAAAAAGGAAAUAAUAACCUUUAUCUAGGCCUCAUGACGGAGCAGCAGACGUUUGACUUUUAUUUGGAAUGGACAUGUUCAUCUGUUAUUUCAAAUGGCACCGCUGUUCUCUUACGAGAUAAAACAAAUUCGCCAUUUGAAGUGUGCGUGGACAAGAUAUGCCGACUUAAAGCAACGUUCCUCGCUGCUCAUCUAUCGGACCACUGUCAUUAAGGCCCAUAAACUGUUAUUAUGAGGCAUAUUCAAUAGUUCCUGCACCACUAGCUGUCUUCUGCCCGCGCUUGGGCAAUGCCAUAGGUGACGUCACAUGCAACACAGAUACCGGGUUGGAUCAGAGAAAACGCAUUGAUUGUAUUCAUAUCAUUAUCUGAAUACAGUGAAUCUGCACUGGA